GUAAGUGUUUAAGUUACCGUGGACCACCUGUUCCCUUUCCGAACACAGAAGUGAAACCGUCUGACUUUGUUAAUAGUGCAAGUUGUGCGAAACAACAAAUAUGCUUACU
rnacentral:rRNA from 1 species